rnacentral:rRNA from 1 species
GACGGGUGAGUAACACGUGGGUAACCUGCCUGUAAGACUGGGAUAACUCCGGGAAACCGGGGCUAAUACCGGAUGGUUGUUUGAACCGCAUGGUUCAGACAUAAAAGGUGGCUUCGGCUACCACUUACAGAUGGACCCGCGGCGCAUUAGCUAGUUGGUGAGGUAACGGCUCACCAAGGCGACGAUGCGUAGCCGACCUGAGAGGGUGAUCGGCCACACUGGGACUGAGACACGGCCCAGACUCCUACGGGAGGCAGCAGUAGGGAAUCUUCCGCAAUGGACGAAAGUCUGACGGAGCAACGCCGCGUGAGUGAUGAAGGUUUUCGGAUCGUAAAGCUCUGUUGUUAGGGAAGAACAAGUGCCGUUCAAAUAGGGCGGCACCUUGACGGUACCUAACCAGAAAGCCACGGCUAACUACGUGCCAGCAGCCGCGGUAAUACGUAGGUGGCAAGCGUUGUCCGGAAUUAUUGGGCGUAAAGGGCUCGCAGGCGGUUUCUUAAGUCUGAUGUGAAAGCCCCCGGCUCAACCGGGGAGGGUCAUUGGAAACUGGGGAACUUGAGUGCAGAAGAGGAGAGUGGAAUUCCACGUGUAGCGGUGAAAUGCGUAGAGAUGUGGAGGAACACCAGUGGCGAAGGCGACUCUCUGGUCUGUAACUGACGCUGAGGAGCGAAAGCGUGGGGAGCGAACAGGAUUAGAUACCCUGGUAGUCCACGCCGUAAACGAUGAGUGCUAAGUGUUAGGGGGUUUCCGCCCCUUAGUGCUGCAGCUAACGCAUUAAGCACUCCGCCUGGGGAGUACGGUCGCAAGACUGAAACUCAAAGGAAUUGACGGGGGCCCGCACAAGCGGUGGAGCAUGUGGUUUAAUUCGAAGCAACGCGAAGAACCUUACCAGGUCUUGACAUCCUCUGACAAUCCUAGAGAUAGGACGUCCCCUUCGGGGGCAGAGUGACAGGUGGUGCAUGGUUGUCGUCAGCUCGUGUCGUGAGAUGUUGGGUUAAGUCCCGCAACGAGCGCAACCCUUGAUCUUAGUUGCCAGCAUUCAGUUGGGCACUCUAAGGUGACUGCCGGUGACAAACCGGAGGAAGGUGGGGAUGACGUCAAAUCAUCAUGCCCCUUAUGACCUGGGCUACACACGUGCUACAAUGGACAGAACAAAGGGCAGCGAAACCGCGAGGUUAAGCCAAUCCCACAAAUCUGUUCUCAGUUCGGAUCGCAGUCUGCAACUCGACUGCGUGAAGCUGGAAUCGCUAGUAAUCGCGGAUCAGCAUGCCGCGGGGAA